AGCUUUGCGCAGUGGCAGUAUCAUAGCCAAUGAGGUUUAUCCCAGGCGCGAUUAUUGCUAAUUGAAUUUACUUGGGGAGACCUACCUAUGGCAGCUCACACCGUUGGGAUUAUUAUGACAGAGGAUGUGAUGGAGGCUAUGAUGACCGGGACUGCUAUAG
ensembl:snRNA U4 U4 spliceosomal RNA